rnacentral:tRNA from 1 species
GGCUCUGUGGCGCAACGGAUAGCGCAUUGGACUUCUAGAUGGUUGAGGUUAUUCAAAGGUUGUGGGUUCGAGUCCCACCAGAGUCA